UACGUAGGGGGCAAGCGUUGUCCGGAAUUAUUAGGCGUAAAGAGCGUGUAGGCGGUCCGGUAAGUCAGCUGUGAAAGUCAAGGGCUCAACCCUUGAAAGCCGGUUGAUACUGUCGGGCUAGAGUCCGGAAGAGGCGAGUGGAAUUCCCGGUGUAGCGGUGAAAUGCGCAGAUAUCGGGAGGAACACCAAUGGCGAAGGCAGCACUCUGGGACGUGACUGACGCUGAGACGCGAAAGCGUGGGGAGCAAACAGG
rnacentral:rRNA from 1 species